rnacentral:miRNA from 17 species
ACGCCGAGCCAUACAAACAAUAC